rnacentral:lncRNA from 1 species
CUAGAAUUCCAUUCCUCAGCGUGGAAGAGCUGUACCCUCAUCCUUAAAGUCCCCGUCUUGAGCUCACAUCCCGCUCCCAGAACUCUCUCCAAGUCACAACUACAGUACUACAUAGGGGCGAAGGGCUUUGGACGGCACCUAGAGAAUACAAACCACUCUCAUGAGGACAGAGGACGUUGAAGUGAGGGAGAGAGGUGUAUAGAGCCCAGCCUCUGCCUGAAGGAGCUUCCAGACUGAGAGCCAUGGAGUGAUUUCAGCGCUGAGAGUAUCACAUCAGAUUUGCAUUUUAGAAGGAUUAUUUCAGCAGCAGAGUCAAGUAUGGAUUAGAUAGGGUCAGGCUGGAGGCAGAAGAAUCAGAUAGGAGGUUCUGGUAUUAAUCCAGAGGAGGAAAUAAAGAAAGCCUGGAC